AACAUCAAAAUUCAAUAGUUUCAAAUAGCAACAAAUUAUUCGUUAUUUAAAUUAUUCGUUAUUAAUGGAUUAAUUGAGCAAAAAAAAAGGAUAUGGAUUUCUUUUUCAUUUUUGUGGAAAACAAAAAAAAGACUGGGCGGGUCGAGCGAUGAUCCUAAAACUUGGGACACAACGCCACGAAACUUACAAUUUACAAUAAACUUGCAAAGGAAUACGACAUCUGGGUUCAGCCCGAUUCAACUUAAAUUCUAUUUCGAUCUUAGGAACAUCGUGCACAAUUAACUUAUACAAAUAGCGAUUGCUGAAAAACGACUACAGAUCGCAGAAAAUAUUGCUCGUGAGCGUUUUAACUAAAUCAAAGGUGAUUUAGUUGUGAUCAAGUCCCAGCUCUCCCAAACUAGAUGAAGACGAUGAUUUGCAAAUCGAGGAUGAUUUGUCUUCAGGAUUUGCCGAGUUGUAAAGUACGAACUGGCUGGCAACACUACAGCAGAUAUGUUAGCAAGAGAAGAAGAAGAAGCAAUGGAGUAUAGUGAGAACAGUGAACAGAGUCUUUAAGAUCAAAAUUUAAGUUAAAAAUAUUUGGAAAAAAUGUGAAAAGUCAAGUCUUUGUAAAAUUUCCAAUUCGUUUAGCCCAAAAUAUUGGAGUCAAAAUUUAUAUACGACAAUUAUACCUUUAGUGGAACUUCAUGACAGAAGCCGAAACGCUUCUAUAUUGGAAUUUGGCUGCUGUACUAUAAUAUAAAUUUUUUCCAUAUGAGGUAUGUUAAGUUGUUGAAGUCGAUCAUUCAUUCUAUUGAUACUUUCUAUUCUGUCCCGUUUU